UGGCAUUUUUGAAUAUCUAAAAGUAUUUUAAAUGAAUUAAAAACUAUUUAAAACAAAAUAAUUCACAAAAAAUAUUAAAUGGAAUCACAAAAAUAAUUAAAAAUCAUAUUAUAAAGCUAGAAUUUAAGAGAAUUUUUUUGCAAUUAGUCCCAUAUUUUUGUGAUUCCAAAUAAAGAAGUUAUGAAUUUUUGAAAAUAAAUGGAUUAAAAGAAAAAUAAAACAGAAAUAAAAAAUAUGAAAAAACCACAACGCUCAGAUCCACUUUCAUUAAUUGACGUGGCUGAUCCUAAGGCCAUGAGGUGCGCGCGCAUGGUGUUCACAAGUCAACAACAUCACAUAUUG
rnacentral:lncRNA from 1 species